ACUACGGGCGGCAGCAGUGAGGAAUAUUGGUCAAUGGGCGGGAGCCUGAACCAGCCAAGCCGCGUGAGGGAAGAAGGUACAGCGUAUCGUAAACCUUGUUUGUCAGGGAACAAAGGCGGGGACUAGUCCCCGGAUGAGGGUACCUGAAGAAAAAGCAUCGGCUAACUCCGGGCCAGCAGCCGCGGUAAUACGGAGUAUGAGAGCGUUAUCCGGAUUUAGUGGGUUUAAAGGGUGCGCAGGCGGCCUGUGAAGUCGGCGGUAAAAGCCCGGGGCUCAACCCCGGCGAGCCGUUGAAACUGGCGGGCUGGAGUUGGAGAGAAGUACGCGGAAUGCGCGGUGUAGCGGUGAAAUGCUUAGAUAUCGCGAAGAACCCCGAUUGCGAAGGCAGCGUACCGGCUCCACACUGACGCUGAGGCACGAAAGCGUGGGUAUCGAACAGGAUUAGAUACCCCAGUAGUC
rnacentral:rRNA from 1 species